rnacentral:rRNA from 1 species
UACGGGGGGGGCAAGCGUUGUUCGGAAUUACUGGGCGUAAAGGGCUUGUAGGUGGCCAACUAAGUCAGACGUGAAAUCCCUCAGCUUAACUGGGGAACUGCGUCUGAUACUGGAUGGCUUGAGAUUGGGAGAGGGACGCGGAAUUCCAGGUGUAGCGGUGAAAUUCGUAGAUAUCAAGAGGAACACCGGUGGCGAAGGCGGCGACCUGGACCGACACUGACGCUAAUACACGAAAGCGUGGGGAGCAAACAGG